CCGUUCUUUACUUCACAGAAAUGCUGCACGUUUGACCAGCUCAAGUCGGCCGCAUACUGGCUUGCACAGAUCCGCCUUGCUGAAUCUGAUGGGAAGCACUAGGUUGCUGCAGAAUUCUUUCGCCUUGCACUUGAGUGCCAAACUGCGGGUCUAAAUUACUAGAGGAAUUACUCGCAGGAUGACAUGAAAGAGGAAAGGCACGGCCGCACGGGCAACAGGCAGGAGGCUACUGUACUGCACAACAAUCACAUUGCAUAGGUGCUGUUGCAACGGGCAACGGCUGAUGGCGCAUGGCUUAUCCAAUGACACGUCAGGUAUUAUUUGUUCGGGAUUUGGUACUGUUUUAUAGUAUACUGAUCAUUAUUACUUCAUUUUCUAUUGUUGGACCAACACAGAAGAGUAGACUUUCAUCCUUAUUACUUCUGGAGUUUGGCAUUUGUCUAUUUGCCUUGCGGGUGCCUAAAAUCUACAGUUUCCCAUUCUACCUACAUCAAUUCCUGUCGGAACUUUGAGUUAAUCUAUUUCUGAGACAUCGCAACCCGCGGGCACUCGCUAGUAA